CCCUUAGGUGUUCGGGGCCGCACGCGCGCUACACUGAAUGAAUCAGCGAGUGUAUGUCCUAGGCCGAAAGGUCCGGGUAACCCGUUGAACCUCAUUCGUGAUUGGGAUAGGGACUUGCAAUUGUUUCCCUUGAACGAGGAAUUCCCAGUAAGCGCAAGUCAUCAGCUUGCGUUGAUUACGUCCCUGCCCUUUGUACACACCGCCCGUCGCUACUACCGAUUGAAUGUUUCGGUGAAGAUUCCGGACCGUGGCGAGCGCGCUUCACGGCGCUCUUGCCGUGGGAAGUUAUCUAAACCUCAACAUUUAGAGGAAGGUGAAGUCGUAACA
rnacentral:rRNA from 1 species